CCUGGCGGCCGUAGCGCGGUGGUCCCACCUGACCCCAUGCCGAACUCAGAAGUGAAACGCUGUAGCGCCGAUGGUAGUGUGGGGUCUCCCCAUGCGAGAGUAGGGAACUGCCAGGC
rnacentral:rRNA from 3 species